rnacentral:misc_RNA from 1 species
GAUGAAGAACGUAGCGAAAUGCGAUAAGUAAUGCGAAUUGCAGAAUUAGUGAAUCAUCGAGUCUUUGAACGCACAUUGCGCCCCCUGGUAUUCCGGGGGGCAUGCCUGUCCGAGCGUCAUUGCUGCCCUCAAGCACGGCUUGUGUGUUGGGCCCCGUCCUCCGAUCCCGGGGGACGGGCCCGAAAGGCAGCGGCGGCACCGCGUCCGGUCCUCGAGCGUAUGGGGCUUUGUCACCCGCUCUGUAGGCCCGGCCGGCGCUUGCCGAUCAACCCAAAUUUUUAUCCAGGUUGACCUCGGAUCAGGUAGGGAUACCCGCUGAACUUAAGCAUAUCAAUAAGCGGAGGA